rnacentral:rRNA from 1 species
UACGGAGGGUGCAAGCGUUAAUCGGAAUUAUUGGGCGUAAAGGGUGCGUAGGUGGUUUAAUAAGUUAGCUGUGAAAGCCCUGGGCUUAACCUGGGAAGGUCAGCUAAGACUGUUGGACUUGAGUCUAGGAGAGGGUAGUGGAAUUUCCGGUGUAGCGGUGAAAUGCGUAGAGAUCGGAAGGAACACCAGUGGCGAAGGCGGCUACCUGGCCUAAGACUGACACUGAGGCACGAAAGCGUGGGGAGCAAACAGGG